CCCCCCCCCACUCGGUAUUUUGGAGGAUUCUUUCGGGGGGGGUCCAAACAUGCAGUGUACUAUGAGACUUUGUGAGAGUAGUAUUGUUUUUUAUAUGAUAUAUGCAGCAUGCUAUGCAGAUUCGUAUGUACCCACAAUUGGAGACAUCUGAUUGUAGUAGUUAUUUAGUUGAUUUGUUGUUUUACAGGUUUGCUUUGGCAUCCUUAAAUGUUAAGCUAGAAAGUAUCUGCACUUAAUUUGGAUGCACCCUGUGCACUUAACUUCAUAAGUUACAUAAUUGCUAUGAUGCCAUCGAUCCACACAAAAUGACACAUCUUUUUGUUGCCAUUACUUUUUCAUGGCAGCAUGACUCUCCGAAGCGGGUAAAGUUCCAUAUAAUAUUUAGCAGAUAAAUCAAGAGCUGCUGAAAUCUACUGUGGAUGACGGUGCCUCCACUCAGCAGCAAUAUGUGUGUGUGUGUGUUUUCAGGGCACGCAUGUGCUUUUGAAAUGUGAGUAGCCUCCCUACAAACCCAUAUUACUACAUACAACCCCCUGUGCAUUUCCAACCAGUAAAUAAUUCAUGAAGUGGAUCCACUUUUGACAGUCACUGGCAUCCGGGUCACGGCGAACCCUUCUGACAUCACCUCUACACCGACGAGGAUGCAGAUGAUAGUUCAAUAACUAGUGAUUGUAUGAACCAGAAAAGUGGCCGAAUUUACGAGAGUAAAUAUCAAGAGGGGUAACAAAUCCCUUCAUCCAUGCUGGUGGACGUCUGCGGCUUCAAGAGUCACACUGAGACAGCUCAGGGUUGAGGGACUACAGUUGAUGGAGGACUCAGACUCUGCAGGUUUUCACUCUUUCAUAUGACUGGUCUAUCAAAGCGUGGAAUCCGAUGCCUCUUCCGAAACGGAAUGAAGAUCUGGCCCCUUCUUGCUUUGGGCGCAUACAUAUUAUCUCUGUGUGUGAAGGACACUAAAUGCUUCUCUUCUGCUCAUCUGUAUUUUUGGAUCAGAGUAUUUCACCACGUAGGAACGUUCCUUUUUGAAAAGAAGGACGACAGAAGAACAAAAAGAAAAGCCAUCCGCUGUCGAAAGCUUUGAGCUGGAGCGUCUGCAUUUGUAGUCCCUUCGAGCAACUCGUCGCCACUCUAAUUUUCUCUCGACACAACACAGCAGUCACUCAGAGACUGAGUGGAUACUCUCAUGUUGACACAGUGCCAGGAGGUGGUGGGCUUACGCGAGCGCCCAACAGCAGCACAAAGUUGUACGAGGCGGCUAAGGGGAGAAACCUGGCUUUGAAAACGGCGCAUGCAUUAUCUUUUAUUUUCUCAAAGCUGCAACAACUCCCGUCCCGUCUUUCACUCUCUGCCAGAACAUUAAUGAUCCAAAAAAAAGCGGUUGUUUUAUUCGGUGUGAUUGUGUAAAAACAGAAGCAUCUGCAGAGGCUUCCACAGGCUGACUGUGGCCAUAUUUGUGACUCUAUAGACACCGGGUGGGUGAGGAAGAGGAAAGAAAAGGAUAUUACUUUAUAUCAUCAUUAUAGACAGAAAGCAAUGAGCAUCCUAAAGCAGACUGCCAACUACAGAAGGGAAAAAUACAGUAACACGCUGCAGUGUGCGCACUCAGAGGGGGAAUUUCAAUAGAGCUUAUAUGGAUUUAGCUCACUGCCUCGCUCAUUGACUCUCUGCUUCAUGCACACAAGGUUGUUUCUUUAGCUGGGACAAGGCAAAAUCUUCUAUUUUGAGAAAAACACACAAAAACAUGACGACCACCCGACGUCUGGUGAGACAAUUAAAACGUUGAAAUGGAAUAGACAGCAGUUGGUAACCCGGGAGUGUGGUGGACUGGAACAGCAGUUAAACAUCAGUUUCAAACACGUGCACACGCACAAAUGCAUCACACACGCAGGAUAAAUUAAUUAGACUGGAUGGCUUUAGGGAAUUGCCAACUAAAUCACAUCGGCUUUUUUCUCCAAGCUCACAAUGUGAGUUAAUUAUGUAGAGAAACUGGUGAUGGUAGAGUACACCUGCAGAAAGAACCACUCCAUCGCACACACACUUCCCAGUCGGUGGCUCAGCAGAACAGCUGGCUUAACUUUGUCCAAAAACCUCCCAACACCACUAACUAUUAUGUCUGUAUUCAGCUUGUGUAAAACACCUUCAAAUAAUUCACAGGCUAAAUGUUACCCUCUAUAAUCCUGAUUCUUCAGUUUUCAGAAGCCUUGGUGGGCUUGACCCGUGUUUAUGGUCUUGUCGUGCUAAGAUAACCUCAUAUAUUUCCAUAUACUUACAUCAAUCUUCAAAGAGUUUGAACUACGUUUAUGUAUUGGGUUGGACUUUUGCUCCUUGGUCAGCUGCAGGCCGCCACCACGUGCAGUUUGAUCACCAUCCUCAUCUCUCUCCUCCGUGCUGCACCACGCCUUCGCCUCGAAGAAGCUUCGAGUCCACGCUCUUUGAUUUCCCGGGGAGGGCUUCUGGGAUUAGCUAAAUUACUCUGCAGUUAGUUUUUAAAUCACACAAUGCCUCCCAAAAAUAGUAUCCUCUCAGCUAAUGCCUAAUCGUUGCACUCGAGCAGUGACGGCUUAGCCAAGUCUGCGAGACAGGAGUCAGCCUGGUCAUUGCUGUGACUCAUUUGUUGGAUGUUAGUGGCCAUCAUCAUCUGAAAAUGAAAAAUGACUGGAAUAGGACAGUUGUAACGAUAAUCCCAUCACUAUCUCCAAACCAAUUUCUUCGCCAGCUCAUCGGCUCAUGAGUACUGGGAGAGAUCCCGGGCCACAAAGUUUCUUUAAAGCACCACAGCUUGGUAGAAAAUCACUCAUUCUAGCUCAGGAAUAAUUAGUCCUAAUCUUGGGGCGUUUCCAACGGAGAUUUAAUGAACGAGGCCAAUUCAUCUUUGUCGCGGACAAUCUGUUAAUUAUAUUAAAUCUUGUGAUUAGAUUUUCCUCAGUUGUCUCCUUUGUAAUCAUCAAGCAGCGACCAGACUUCAUCAUUACAGGCAGUUACACCAGUGGACCACUAGAGGGAACUAGACACUGUGAAACGCUACUGGCAGCUGAGGCUUGUGAUCUGAAACUAGGAGGACAAAACAACUGAACACAACUUCCCAGAGGAGGAGGAGACAUCUUAUGAUCAGCACAUGUGCUAAUGGAUGCUAUAUUUGGCAUGGAGUAGCUUUCCUGUGAAGACUUUCCAAGUAAUAUACUGGAUUGAUUGUCUAAAGAAAACAUGUCUGACGAAUUAUUAAGCAGAGCGGGGUAGUUAGGAGACUCUUUGAACAAUUUCUGCAGGGCAUUUAUUGAGAAUCUUUUGUCUACGAAGGCACUAAAGAACUGGCCCUCGACAGUUUUCAGGUUCUAUUCCAGACGUUGGACAAAAGCUGCUUGCUGUACUUCUGUAAAUAAAAUGGGAUAUUUGGCAUCGCUGAAACACGUAUUCAAAAGCAUGUGUUUUUCCCCACAUGUAGGUGUAAUGCAGUUCAUCUUUACUACCAUAUCUUUGACACAAAAAAGAAUACUAGUUUGUUGCAUAAGCUGCCAUAGUUUUACCACAGCAGCUCUUUUAUUAGCAAAAUCAUGGAGAUUAGUCCACUAAUGUGCCCAUCCAAUGGAAACAGAGGGUUGGGGGGGUCCAGGGGCGGGGGGGGAUAUGUAACUUGAAACCAUCACACAUCACGAUCAUCAGCAGUGCACCUAGACAUGACGGUCUGUCUGUGCACUGAACACGGAUCUACACGUGGUCCUACCAUUUGCUACAAGGCCGCCAUUGGCAUCCUCUUUUCAAAGCUUCUCUUUGCUUCUGGACUCAAUAAAGGAAUGUUACAGUUUGUCGAGGCGCACCAACACCGCGCACUCGUUAAUUUACAGAGUAGCUUCUUUUUGGUUGCUUAGAAAAAUAAAACUUUGAAAGAGGAUGACAAGUAGAGGAAUAAAGUCCCUUUGUUUUUCCAUUGUGCACACGUUCUCUCGCUCUCUCUCUCUCUAACACACGCAAUCUCACACACACAAUCACUCGCGCCGGCUUUUGGCCUAAAAUCGAAUCGAAGCUCCAACUUUCAUGCAAAUCUCACAUCCGAAAAGUUUUCCCACACGCCUCUCACAGUAUGUCAGAGUGAAUUGGUCUACAGAGUGACUUGGUCUUGUUUGGUUUGUCUAAGGACGCAAAAAAAAAAAAAAAAUUA